rnacentral:rRNA from 1 species
UACAGAGGGUGCGAGCGUUGUUCGGAAUUACUGGGCGUAAAGCGCGUGUAGGCGGCGGGAUAAGUCGCAUGUGAAAGCCCUCGGCUCAACCGAGGAAGUGCAUGCGAUACUGUUUCGCUUGAAUGCCGGAGGGGAUGGCGGAAUUCCCGGUGUAGAGGUGAAAUUCGUAGAUAUCGGGAGGAACACCUGUGGCGAAGGCGGCCAUCUGGACGGCGAUUGACGCUGAGACGCGAAAGCGUGGGUAGCAAACAGG